AAAGCUGAUCGAAAUUCGCCUAUUUUUUAUUGAUUUGAAAAGCUGAUUUUCAGUGUUUCCCAAUUGAUGAUAUGUCAUUUAUUCAAAAAGCUGAAAAGUGUUUUCAGAUUUAACAAUAAGUUCUAUCAGAUGUCUGUGGAAAACUUUUUGCUCAGAUCUAAAGAGUAUUCUGAGAACAAAAUCUUGCAACUUUUCACGAUUUUCCACAAGAAAAUCGAGUAAAAAGUCUUCGUCAUUUCAUCUAUUAGAAACACUGAAAAAAAACGUCACUUAUUUUACAUACAUUCAAACCAUCUUUCAAAUCACUGAAAAUUACUAAUAUUUUCAGACGGGUUUUUCUUGGGGAAAAAUUGGUGGGACUGAGCAGGUUACACAUUUUUUGCCUUUGCUCUGUCCCAAAAAGUAGGUUAAGCAUGAAUUAUUUAUUCAAUUUGCUCUAUUUUGUUUGUAAAACGGGUAAUAUUUUUCGUGCAACUUCAUUUAUUGAAACACUGAAAAACAUCGCUUACAAAUAUCAGUGGUUGACACAUCACAAACAUGUCAGUUGUCAAAGAAAAUGGCGUCAGUGCGGUGACGUCUUUCUUUUGUCUGUGCAAUUUGUCGCAGAAAAAUAAAGAAAUGGGCACAAUUUCUCCACCAAAAGUUGUUUGGAGAUGCCCUACGUUCGUGAAGUGCGUUGGAAGUGAUAGUGAUGGUGUGAAAGGGAUGUUGGUGUUCAGUGAAAAGUAAAAGACAUCCCUUGACUUGUGGCUGUCAAAAAUGCAUCAAAAGACUCCAAUAUGAGGCUGGUUGACUUCUCCGGAUCCUGCGUCAUCUCGAUCUCAGGACAAAUUGUGUCAUCUUGUAACUGGUGCCAAGACAAUCAGAAAAUGCAUGUGUGCUGGUGAAAUUGCUCCUCCAGGGAGGAAUUUUGUCAAUUUGGAUGCCAGACAAAAUCUACAAAUGAAGACACCCUACUAAGGAAUCUACUACAAAGGAAGACACUCUGGGUGCUGGAGGUAAGCUGCUCAAGCUGCAGAGAGCUGAAAGUUAUGCGAUCUCAUACGACAAGAUGCCACAAGAGAGAGAGGGGAGGAUUGGAGAUCAGCAUUCCCCGUCAGAAAUCAUCAAGAAGAUUACAUUGAUCAUCGACGUAGUAUAUCGAGGUGACCAUUGCUGGGAUUGAAGGUGGUUUCCAGACCACUACCGGAAAGAGAUAAAUAAAUUCGCGGAUGAUGGUGUGGUUUCAGGUGAUUCAGGUGGUUCUGAUGGUUCAGGUGAGCUUAAUAUAAAAUUUUAUAGGUUAACCCUUUAAGGACAAGAAGGUCGAAAAUUGGGGGUGCAGAAAAAAUAAUUUUUAGUGACUUCUGCGAGCGAAACAUAACUUUAGACGGGCGUAGGAAAGAUAUCUCUUUUUGGGUAACCGGAGUCACCGGUAAUCCCAUCGUCCUUAGAGGGUUAAAAGUUUAUACAGAAAAUUUUAUAUUCACGUCUGAUCAGUCCAGCCACAUAAUUCAAAAUGAUCAGUAAGAAAAAGGUCAGUAAAAAUAGGGCACAAAAAAGUUUAAAAAGAUCAGUAAAAAGAAAUUAAAUUGAAAAUCAGUGAAAAAUAAAAUACGGUCAGUAAAAAAUUUAAAAUGAGCAGUAAAAAAUAAAAUUUUAUCAGUUUAAAAUGAAAAGCGGUCAGCGAAAAUUAAAAAGUGGUCAGUAAAAAAUUAAAAUUGGUCAGUAAGAAAUUAAAUAUGAGAAGUAAAAAAAAUAAACUGUGGGCAAUAAAAAAUAAAAA